GACGAACGCUGGCGGCGUGCUUAACACAUGCAAGUCGAACGGAAAGGCCCUGCUUGCCGGGUGCUCGAGUGGCGAACGGGUGAGUAACACGUGGGUGAUCUGCCCCUUACUUUGGGAUAAGCCUGGGAAACUGGGUCUAAUACUGGAUAGGACCAUGCUGUAGGUGGUGUGGUGGAAAGAUUAGUUUCGGUAAGGGAUGAGCUCGCGGCCUAUCAGCUUGUUGGUGGGGGACUGGCCUACCAAGGCGUCGACGGGUAGCCGGCCUGAGAGGGUGGACGGCCACAUUGGGACUGAGACACGGCCCAGACUCCUACGGGAGGCAGCAGUGGGGAAUAUUGCACAAUGGGCGCAAGCCUGAUGCAGCGACGCCGCGUGGGGGAUGACGGCCUUCGGGUUGUAAACUCCUUUCAGCCAUGACGAAGCCCUUGUGGUGACGGUAGUGGUAGAAGAAGCACCGGCUAACUACGUG
rnacentral:rRNA from 1 species